CCUACGGGAGGCAGCAGUAGGGAAUUUUCGUCAAUGGGCGCAAGCCUGAACGAGCAAUGCCGCGUGAAGGAGGAAGGUCUUCGGAUCGUAAAGUUCUGUUGAAGGGGAAAAAGAGCGGAGAGAGGAAAUGGUCUCCGAUUGAUAUUACCCUUCGAGGAAGUCACGGCUAACUACGUGCCAGCAGCCGCGGUAAUACGUAGGUGGCGAGCGUUAUCCGGAAUGAUUGGGCGUAAAGGGUGCGUAGGCGGCCUGCUAAGUCUGGAGUGAAAGGUACCGGCUCAACCGGUACAGGCUCUGGAAACUGGCGGGCUAGAGAGCAGGAGAGGGCGGUGGAACUCCAUGGGUAGCGGUAAAAUGCGUAGAUAUAUGGAAGAACACCAGUGGCGAAGGCGGCCGCCUGGCCUGUUACUGACGCUGAGGCACGAAAGCGUGGGGAGCAAAUAGGAUUAGAUACCCGGGUAGUC
rnacentral:rRNA from 1 species